AGCUCCAAUAGCGUAUAUUAAAGUUGCUGCAGUUAAAAAGCUCGUAGUUGGAUCUCGGGGUACCUGGUCUAGCCGGUAUAGCUCACGCUAAAACUGGUCUGACCCCCCAACGUGAGGUAUUCGUCUCCGGGUGCACUUCAUUGGGUGCUCGUGAGGGGCCUCGUAGUUACUGUGAAAAAAUUAGAGUGUUCAAAGCAGGCUCAUAUGUUCGGAUAGUCGUGCAUGGAAUAACGAAAUACAUGACUAGCGCAUUUCGGUUGGUUUCGGCGACUGAUAAAAUGAUUAAGAGGGACAGCCGGGGGCAUUGGUAUGGCGACGUUAGAGGUGAAAUUCUUGGAUCCUCGGCAGACCAACAAAAGCGAAAGCAUUUGCCAAGAAUGUCUUCA
rnacentral:rRNA from 1 species